AAUUAUUGAUGCCAGGAUGUGUAAUACACACAGCUAAGGCCAUUAUGGGCUGUGGGUCCAUUUUCACUAUUUGACUGUUAGGGUUGUACGGGUCGCUCGAGAUGACUGUGGACCUACUGUUGGGUCAGUAAGUUUACCUAGUGCUGAAUCGCGAGGGCGAUGAAAUAGGAAAGGUCAAUGACGUGCCCGUGCGACAUACACCAUAA
rnacentral:lncRNA from 1 species